GGGGUCUAGGUCUCUGGGGUCUAGGUCUUUAGGGGUCUAGGUCUCUGGGGGUCUAGGUCUCUGGGUGUCUAGGUCUCUAGGUCUUUAGAGGUCUAGGUCUCUGGGGUCUAGGUCUCUGGGGUCUAGGUCUCUGGGGGUCUAGGUCUUUAGGGGUCUAGGUCUCUGGGGUCUAGGUCUCUGGGGUCUAGGUCUCUGGGGUCUAGGUCUUUAGGGGUCUAGGUCUCUGGGGUCUAGGUCUCUGGGGUCUAGGUCUUUAGGGGUCUAGGUCUCUGGGGUCU